rnacentral:misc_RNA from 1 species
UCUCCGUUGGUGAACCAGCGGAGGGAUCAUUACUGGAAUCGCAAGAUCCCACAACCCUGUGAACCUACCGAAACGUUGCCUCGGCGGGUGCCCGGCCUCUCCGCCGGGCGCUGCGCCCGCCGGCGGCCCCCUACUCUGUCUCUGCAGCGUGGCAUCUCAGAGUCCCAGAAAACAAGUCAAAACUUUCAACAACGGAUCUCUUGGCUCUA